rnacentral:rRNA from 1 species
UACAGAGGGUGCAAGUGUUAAUCGGAGUUACUGGGCGUAAAGCGUGCGUAGGUGGUUUGUUAAGUCAGUCGUUAAAUUCUGGGGCUUAACCUCAGAAUUGCGCUUGAUACUGACAGACUAGAGUGUUGUAGAGGAUAGUGGAAUUGCCGGUGUAGCGGUGAAAUGCGUAGAUAUUGGGAGGAACAUCAGUGGCGAAGUCGGCUAACUGUACCAACACUGACUCUGAGGUACGAAAGCGUGGGUAGCAAACAGG